rnacentral:rRNA from 1 species
AUUGAACGCUGGCGGCAUGCCUUACACAUGCAAGUCGAACGGUAACAGGUCUUCGGAUGCUGACGAGUGGCGAACGGGUGAGUAAUACAUCGGAACGUGCCUAGUAGUGGGGGAUAACUACUCGAAAGAGUGGCUAAUACCGCAUGAGAUCUACGGAUGAAAGCAGGGGAUCGCAAGACCUUGUGCUACUAGAGCGGCAGAUGGCAGAUUAGGUAGUUGGUGGGAUAAAAGCUUACCAAGCCAACGAUCUGUAGCUGGUCUGAGAGGACGAUCAGCCACACUGGGACUGAGACACGGCCCAGACUCCUACGGGAGGCAGCAGUGGGGAAUUUUGGACAAUGGGCGCAAGCCUGAUCCAGCAAUGCCGCGUGCAGGAUGAAGGCCUUCGGGUUGUAAACUGCUUUUGUACGGAACGAAAAGCCCUGGGUUAAUACCCUGGGGUCAUGACGGUACCGUAAGAAUAAGCACCGGCUAACUUCGUGCCAGCAGCCGCCGUAAGAC